GACAAACGCUGGCGGCGUGCCUAACACAUGCAAGUCGAACGGUUUCCCUUCGGGGAGAUAGUGGCGGACGGGUGAGUAACACGUAGAUAACCUGCCCUACAGUGGGGAAUAACCACUCGAAAGAGUGGCUAAUACCGCAUAAGUUCUCUUUCGUUAGAAGGAGAGGAAACCUUUUCUGUGAAAAGAGAGGGGCUGAAGGAGGGGUCUGCGGCGGAUUAGCUAGUUGGUGGGGUAACGGCCUACCAAGGCGACGANCCGUAGCUGGUCUGAGAGGACGGCCAGCCACACUGGGACUGAGACACGGCCCAGACUCCUACGGGAGGCAGCAGUGAGGAAUAUUGGACAAUGGGCGAAAGCCUGAUCCAAGCAACGCCGCGUGAGGGAUGACGCCU
rnacentral:rRNA from 1 species